GGGUCGGCAUGGCAUCUCCACCUCCUCGCGGUCCGACCUGGGCAUCCGAAGGAGGACGUCGUCCACUCGGAUGGCUAAGGGAGAGCUCGGAUCC
rnacentral:ribozyme from 10 species